rnacentral:rRNA from 1 species
UGGGGAAUAUUGCACAAUGGAGGGAACUCUGAUGCAGCGACGCCGCGUGAGUGAUGAAGGAAUUCGUUUCGUAAAACUCUGUUCUAUGGGAAGAAAAGGACUGUACCAUAGGAGAAAGCUCCGGCUAAAUACGUGCCAGCAGCCGCGGUAAUACGUAUGGAGCGAGCGUUGUCCGGAAGUAUUGGGCGUAAAGGGUGCGCAGGCGGCUUUACAAGUUGGAUGUGAAAUAUUGUGGCUCAACCACAAACGUGCAUCCAAAACUGCAAAGCUUGAGUUAAGGAGAGGUAAGUGGAAUUCCUGGUGUAGCGGUGGAAUGCGUAGAUAUCAGGAGGAAUACCGGUGGCGAAGGCGACUUACUGGACUUAAACUGACGCUCAGGCACGAAAGCGUGGGGAGCAAACAGG